rnacentral:rRNA from 1 species
UACGUAGGGUGCGAGCGUUAAUCGGAAUUACUGGGCGUAAAGCGUGCGCAGGCGGUUUUGUAAGCCAGAUGUUAAAUCCCCGGGCUUAACCUGGGAAUGGCAUUUGGGACUGCAAGGCUGGAGUGUGGCAGAGGAGACUGGAAUUCCUGGUGUAGCAGUGAAAUGCGUAGAUAUCAGGAGGAAUACCGAUGGCGAAGGCAGGUCUCUGGGCUAACACUGACGCUCAUGCACGAAAGCGUGGGGAGCAAACAGG